rnacentral:lncRNA from 1 species
UACAAUUAAGAGAACAUUAAAAGGAGCUUGAGGAAGAGGGCUUAAGGAAUUUGCCAAGUAGGCAAGGUGGAACAUUUGUUAAGUGGUUUGAGUCACGUGUAAGUAAAUAAGAUAUUAUUUAUUAUUUCAUAAUAAAUUUUCACCUACUGUCUAUUUAUAUUUAUUCGUAUGAUGGUAGAUACAACGUGCGCACUGCGAAGGCAACGGAAGUGUGAGCAUUCAACUUCUUCAUUUGUCAUGUGGUCCAAAUAGAAUGAUGACUCGUUAUAGUGGCUACAUCGUUAAUGGCUUUAGAUUUCAUACAUAUA